ACUUUUCCACUCCCCACUCUUUCCUCCACUCCCACACACUCUCCUCCUAUCUCUCCCCACGAAAUUGCUGCUCCUCCUAGCUUCAUGGCCGGCCAUGGCCAUGGCCAUGAAAAGCUCUCCAUGAUGAAGCUCUCCCCCUCCCUCAAGCUCCUCCUCUCCAUGAGAGCAUCCCUCUCCUUUUUCUCCCCAACCCUAGAUGGUUUUCUCUCCUCUUCUUCUUCCUCCCUUGCUAAGUUUGGAUCUUGAUGCAGGUGCAUGUUGGUCCAAGCAUGGAGAAGCUUCACCUAUCCUCAGAUCUGAAGUUCUUGACCAAAAUCCAAAUCGAGUGAUUCAAAGUUCCACAGAUAGGUAUUGAAAAGAUCUACAACUUGGCAUUGGUCUCAUCCUCAAAUUCGUUACGGAUUUUGCAUGGGGAUGUUUGGUUUAUACCAUGGUGAUAACCGAGAGAGGCAAUUGCUAAGUUGUGAUACUCUCAUACCUUUACUAGAUGGGAACAAUUCCGGAGAAAAAGAAGAAGUGGAAUCGGACAAGGAUUUUAUUUAUGUUGUUGGGAUUCUUAUAUUGACGGAGUUGAAAAAGUACAGCGACAAAUCAGCCAAGGCAAGCCAUCUUUUGAUCUCUUGCUAUUUAUCCUUCUUGUUGUGCUCAUUGCUCCAUUAUACACUUGGUUCCUUGUAUCAUAUGUGAUUUUUGGUCCUCUAUUCUAUGCAUGCUUAUUCCCAAAGUAUGUUGAACCCCUUGUUGAUGCUUUGCAUACUUGCUCCCAAGUAUGUGAACCCCCUUGUUGAUGUUAUGCAUGCUUACCCUAAGCAUGUAUGCCCCCUUGACCAUACCCAUGUUGUCAUCUUCUUAGUGGUAUGAUGAUUAACAUCAUGACCCCUGUUUGAAUCAUCUUAAUUAUGUUGUCCCUAUACAUGCUUAUCCUAAGUAUGUAUGAUCCCCUUAACACCUCAAUUAUCAUCCCCUUAGUGGUAUGAUGGCUAGCAUCAUGUCAUUGUGACUCUUAGUUCCUUCAUAAAACUAUAGGUUGGGAACCCCCUUGGAAAAAUACCUUGUUGAAAAUAAUUUUUGAAAACCUUGGGUGAGUUGGACUUACCCAAGUGUGUGUUUAUGAAAGGAAAGGAUCUUGGCAAAGAUGGUUGGAAAGAAAAUCUUGUUUUCGAAAACUUUGGCAUCUAAGUAUUCACCCGUGACAAUUAACCCGCGCAACCACAUUACCCUGGAGUGGGACGGGGCUUAGCUCGUAGUUUGUUCUUCUUAACAUGGGACACCGCACAACUAUAUAAGGGUAAGAUUACCCCUGAAUCCGGAUUGUCAUUGGUGGAGACAAUAGUAUAACGGGAGGCCUUCGGGGCUGACCCGUCCGGAAGACACUAUGGGUCUCCUGGCUUGGCGGUGGAGCCACACUCAAAGUGAGGUGAGCUGCCACGGUGCCGGGGAGGUACAUACUCCAUAGGGUAGGAUCCCGUGCUAAGACGAAUAGGCGAAAGGCUAUGUCCGAGUUUUUGUCAUGGCAUAGUUGAUAUGCGGGGUUGAUGCCCACAUGAUGAACUCGCGGAUCUUGUGGGGAAAGUGUGCAAACUCUGCAGAGUCAAAUCUAUUCGAAUAGCCGUGUCUGCGGUCAUGGACGGUUGGAAUGACUGUUGCUUAGCCUAAAGAGUUUUGUUUUAUGAAAGUGUUUGACAAAGGAAAGGAAGGAACUUGUUUUCGGAGUACCGGGAAGGUACGGGAAAAUUGUGAUGACCAUAUGGAGAUGGUCGGAAAGGAAAUAAACUGGGUUACUCCCAUCCUAGUGUUUUAUGUUGUAGAACUCUUUUGAAGUAUCUUCUUUAACAAAGAUAUAGAGAUGUCAUAGAACACUCCUAAGUAUCCCCUUCGACCGAGAAGUUGGGAUACUAUCUCCACCAAAGAAAUUACAUCUCUCCUAGAUGCUAUAUUCACAAGAGAAACUGAUUCUCUUAUGCAUGCUAUAUCCACAAGAGAAACUACUCUUCCUCUCUUGUCUCUUUAGUUAGCUCUUGUUAGUAUCUUCUUGAUGGUUUGCGAGUACAAUUCCAAAUGUACUCACGGCUUUGUCCCUGGUUAUUUACUU